rnacentral:ncRNA from 1 species
CAGUUUGCUAUCGAGAGGCUUAAUAAACAGGCUGUUAUUUUUAAGUGCAACCUCGCCUUUGGCAGUAACAAGUUCGCCAUUCAGUGGAAUAUCCAGAUGUAAGCGAGCAUUCACAUUACCAUCCAGCUGAAGUUGCUCAAGCGUUGCACCAAGUGAAUCUUUUAACGGCGAUUCGUCGAAAUACGGCCCAACGGCUUUACCAGGACCACUGAUAUCCGCAUCAAUUAAUAACUUCUCUUUCGAAUAAUCAGGGAUGACCGCUGUCAGAUUACUGGCCUGAACACCGCCCAGAUUCACUUUGUCACUGCGCAUCCAUAAGCCGUCAUUGAUAAAAUCCAGCUCAAUAUCAAGAUUUGUUAGCGCAGGCCAGUCGGGUUGAAAGGCAAAUUUGGCAUU